AUAAAAUAUUCGGUGGAUUACCCACCUCUCGUUCUCUCUCCUCAACCUCCCGUCUCCUACUCCUCAAACAAAUCGAAACAUUACCCCUUUUCUUUUUUAAGCUCUUCUCUACCAAAACAACCCAGCAACCCCCUUCUCGUCUCAUUUUCUUUUCAGAUCCGGUGGUUUUCACCCCGAUCCCUCCAUUUUUUUGGCUAUCUCCUUGCUUUUGACAGAGUUUGUUAUCUCCCUAGUUUUUCUAGGGCGUUUCUUUGGCUCUGGGCAGUCCUUUUAGAUCAAAUCUCAAAUCUCAAAUCUCAUAUCUCAGAUCUGAGAGCUAGAGUAGGGAUUGCUUCAGUCAUGGCUUUCCUUGUAUUUUUUUUUCUACUUUUUUAUAUAUUAAUAUAUUCUUUGUUAUUCUGUGAUGCAAGAAGAUCAAGUUCUGCAGGGGCGGUGGAAUUGCUAGAGGCGCCUGCGCCUCUAUUCCCAAGUCCUUUUUAAUUUUUAAUUUAUUUUAUUAAUAUACUCUUUGUAAUUUUCCUUUUCUAUUUCUGAGUUCUAAAGAUGUUGUUUUAUCUGGGUUUCUCUUCCCCUGAUCAUUGGUGGGUUGGGGUUAUUCAUUUAGAUGAGUACAAGAUUUCUAUUUUCUUAGAUUUUAUUUUAUUUUGAUAUGUCCUUUUCUCUUUCUUUCCCUAUUUGAACUAUGCCCGUGUUCUACCUCUAACUUCUUCUUGAACUAUGACCUGUGAACUACUAUUAGUUCACUACAAAAAAAAAAAAAAGGAAAAAAAGAGAGGCAAUAGUCACCUUUUUAAAGUAACAAAAUUUGUUUUGGUGACAUAGGGAAGAGCUGCUGGCAGAAAGCUGCCCACCUAUUUUGACUUGCCUUGGCUGCUCCAUUUCGCAAGUUUUUUUGUUCUUUCCCUUUUGUUUUGCUUCUCUUUAGUGUUUAUGGCCUUGAAUGAAGUUUUGUUUAAUGUUUGGUACAUCUCGAAUUGCAGACAUGAAUUACUUUUUGGGUGGGGCAUCACGAAAUUACAGCCAGCCAUCGAGCGAGAACACCAAUAAUGAUCAAAUCCCUUCACUAUAUUCCAGCCAGCCAUCGAGCGAGAACACCAAUAAUGAUCAAAUCCCUUCACUAUAGACAGAUGAAUGGUUGACGCUACCAACUACAAAAGAAGAGGGUGAGGUUGUAAUUCCUUAAGCUUGGAUAUCAACCAACUUAGCUAAUUGGAGUACUUAGUUCGUUUUUGUUUAUUGAUUGUUGUUUCAUUUUAUUUUAAGCAUGGAUAUCUGCAAAAGAAUGGCUCCAUUUCCUGCCACCUAAUUCCAUCACAACUUGGACGGAUCUUGUUGCACAGUUCUUACAAAACUUCUUCUCAGCACAAAAGACAAAUGAAAUUCGAAACUAGAUUGUGGAAAUUCACCAAAGGAAGGGAGAAGCCUUCCAUGAGUUUUGGGAUCACAUGCUUCUUUACGCAUUUUAAGCCGCAUGAUGCUUCAUGCUAAUUGUCUAUGUCGGCAUUUGCUUGUAGAACCUGCACCAGUUCUGCGUUUCUCGUUUUCAGUGCUCCUAUCUGUUUGUUGGCAUAAUCCAACUUAUGUUGCGACUUUGCAAUUUGAGCAUUCAAGAAAGCCACUUUCUCAAUUAGGGCUGCACACUCUUGUGUCCUAGCUAGUAGUCGUAGGCCUAAAUUUGUAGGCAAGGUCGCGUUGUGCAUGGUUAAGGCAUGCGACUCUUCUAUCGCAACCUUGUCAGAACUUUAUGCUAUAUGCUGAUGAUCUGCCAGUGUGAGUACUGACAAUCAUGCCUCUAAGCACUAUUACUCUGUUUGGCAUUGCCUCGGCGAAGGUUGAGGCUGUGCCAUGAUGGCAGGAGGAGUUUAGGAAGACAGGGCUUGGAGGAGCAUUUAUUUGGGUCGACGGUGACGCAAUGGAUAAAUUCAGAUUGAGAUCAUAGAUGGGAGUGGAUGAGGUUGCCAUUGUUUUUCUUGAUUAUUUGAUGAUUUUCUCUCAGUUUUCAGGAAGAAAUGCAGGGCACUCCUCAACUUAACCGAGACAUGGUUCAAAUAGACUUCUGCUGAUGAGGGAGCCGACAACACUUCGGAUCUCCAGAGUGUUGUCCUUCCUUUUGCAUUUUUCUCUCGGAUUCCUUCGUUUCCCGAGCAUUUUGCAGUUGUGUCAUUUUAAAAGGGAGUAU